rnacentral:lncRNA from 1 species
CAUUUGGUUGAUCCGGAUAUUCACAGGAGAACUGUUGUUAGGAGGAAAUAGGAAUUGGAGGCCUCGGGAGAAUAGGCUGCUCAUAUCAAGUGGACAAAGGUGCAUCAUCGAAUUGAUAAUGUUUUUUUGUUGAUUUGUUUCACAGUUGAAGCAUCAUCCAAAGUAUGUACUACUUGAUAGAAUUACCUGAAUGUGCAUUAUUGUACUAAUAUUUCUAAUUG